CGCGGGGCAUGGCCAGACUCCGCGAGGGCGAGGCGAGGAGGCAGCCGCCGCCGCUCCCGCCCGCCCCGCCGCCGCCGCGCCGAGCCUCCCCCAUGAGCAGCAGCGGCGGCGCGGAGCCCCCCGCGCAGCCCGGCAGCAUGAAGGACCUGGACGCCAUCAAGCUCUUCGUGGGGCAGAUCCCGCGCAACCUGGAGGAGAAGGACCUCAAGCCGCUCUUCGAGCAGUUCGGCAAGAUCUACGAGCUCACCGUGCUCAAGGACCGCUACACCGGCAUGCACAAGGGUUGUGCAUUCCUCACAUACUGUGCCAGAGACUCUGCCAUCAAAGCCCAGACAGCAUUACAUGAACAGAAGACUUUGCCAGGGAUGGCACGCCCGAUUCAGGUGAAACCCGCAGACAGCGAGAGCCGUGGAGGUAGGGACAGGAAGCUCUUUGUGGGCAUGUUAAAUAAGCAGCAGUCUGAGGAUGACGUGCUCCGGCUCUUUGAACCGUUUGGGGUCAUUGAUGAAUGUACAGUGCUGCGUGGACCUGAUGGUAACAGCAAAGGCUGUGCUUUUGUAAAGUUCUCAUCUCAUACAGAGGCUCAGGCAGCAAUCCACGCACUCCAUGGCAGCCAGACAAUGCCCGGCGCCUCCUCCAGUCUAGUGGUGAAGUUUGCUGACACAGAUAAGGAGAGGACCCUCCGUCGUAUGCAGCAAAUGGUGGGGCAGCUGGGGAUAUUCACUCCAUCUCUCACCUUGCCGUUCAGCCCAUACAGCGCCUAUGCGCAGGCUCUGAUGCAGCAGCAGACGACCGUCCUCUCCACCUCCCACGGCAGCUACGUGAGUCCUGGCGUCGCCUUUUCCCCGUGCCACAUCCAGCAGAUUGGUGCCGUCAGUCUCAACGGGCUGCCAGCCACUCCUGUUGCACAGACAUCAGGGCUACAUUCACCUCCUCUCCUGGGAACAACAGGUGUGCCCGGACUGGUGGCACCCAUUUCAAAUGGAUUUACUAGUGUGGUACCAUUCCCAAAUGGCCACCCAACCUUGGAAACGGUUUACACCAGUGGCUUUGUACCAUACUCAGCCCAGAGUCCUUCGGUAGCAGAGACUUUGCACCCAGCCUUUACAGGAGUUCAGCAGUAUGCAGCUGUGUAUCCAACCACCUCCAUCACUCCCAUCGCUCAGAGCAUCCCUCAGCCACCUCCCAUUCUGCAGCAGCAGCAACGUGAAGGUCCUGAAGGCUGCAAUCUCUUCAUCUACCAUCUCCCUCAGGAGUUUGGAGACAAUGAAUUGAUGCAGAUGUUCCUACCCUUUGGCAAUAUCAUCUCCUCCAAGGUGUUCAUGGAUCGUGCCACCAACCAGAGCAAAUGUUUUGGUUUUGUAAGCUUUGACAACCCAUCCAGUGCACAAACUGCUAUCCAGGCCAUGAAUGGCUUCCAGAUUGGCAUGAAACGUUUGAAGGUCCAGUUGAAACGACCCAAGGAUGCUAAUCAUCCCUACUGAAAGGAGUGAACAAUCAGGAGUCACUUCUGCAGCACAGGUCUGUUCUCACCUGUUGCAUGUGCCCUGAAAUUUGCCUGGAGACAGUGCUUCAAGGGUAAGAAGGGACAAUCCCAUGACUCGUAAGGAUCACAGAAAAACUGUUCAGAAGACAAUUACCUCCCGAUGCAGUCACACGAUGAUUUUCUGCUUUGUUCAGGGCAGUCCUAGUACAGCAGUUAACCACAGAGAAACCAAGUGCUCCUGUCUCAGGUGGGGACAAUAAUCUAGAAUUGGGGCAAGAGAGGGUCAUAUCUGGAAAUAGUUCAGUGUACUCAUGACAGCUAGCUCCUAUUUCUUUUAUUUCCUGUGAAAUUAAGGCCUAUGGAAAGAGUCUGGAGCACAGCUAAGCCUGUAUUGUGGUCUGCAGUGCCUAUCCCCAUGGCUACACAGCUGCACUCAAUGGUUGCUACAAUGUCAGCUGAGCCUUGAGCGAUCUGUUCAUCCUUCUCUGGUAGCCACAUCAUCAAGAGAUGCUUAUGAGCCCCAGGUGAUGCUCUGAAGGGCCACAGAAGAGCUGCCUAAUGUGAGAGCUGGCUGUCAUAGAGCUAGUUCCUGUGAGCCAACAGACUGGGAGCAAGGGAGGGCCGAUCUUGAUCCCAUCUAAUUGGGGUCAUCUUCCUCCACAUUUAAGCAGCAGCAACUCAAAGCCGGGGGUUUGCAUAGAUGUCCUCCUAAUCUCCCAGUUCCCCCCCUCCUCCCUUUCUAUUCAGGUGAAGGGAAAGCCAUAGGAAGAAUUUAUGCUUCGAAUUGAUUUACAGACAGGCCUGUCAAUUUAUCAACUCUUUUGAUGCCACCUCUUUCCUUCUUCUGCUCCCCACUUACUCACCCCAUCCUCCUUCUGCCCUCCUUCCUAAAACCAUGGAAAUUAAAGAGAAGAAUCAGUAUCUGCCCAGCAGGAAGAUUCUUGCCACGACAGACUCACGUAUUUGCUGCUAGUGUGGUGCAUAGCAAAAGGGACCAGAAAAUGAGCAGCCCCUGGGAACCCUAAGCUCUUCCUCUUGGGAUGUGCUUGGAGUGCAUGGACCAAGAAAACCCACUGUGACUCACAGGACCAAAUUUUUCCAUUCAGAGACUGACUCCUUGCAAGAGGGGUUGGAAGCUAAGGGUUUACCUCUGCAGCAGUGUCUUCUCAGGAAGCACUGCCAAUAGACCUGAACAUUUUGAGAGAAUGCCUGGAUGGACAGAGAGCAAGAGAGAGAGCACAUCUCUCUACUCAACAUUAACAAGAAGCAAGGAGAAAGAGAACCACAUACCUCCAGGAUUAGGGCACAGCCAGCUGCUCAGCUCAAGUCACUCACCCACCAACCUUAGCACCAGCCUGGUUAAGGAUCUCAAGAGCUUCUGUCUUACCCUUCCAAGGGCUUCUGCAGACCAAGCUCCUGGAAUUUGGUGCCAAAGCCUAUCGUGAGCACUCCUCAAUUAGGCUGAAAGCACAGGAAAUCAACCCUUUUACCUACAAGAACUGUAUUGCCUCCCCACACAUUGUACUGGCCCAACUUCAUAGCUCUUUGUGGUAACAGGGCAUUUUUUUGAUCAAGAGAGAAGAUGAAAGUGUGAGCAAGUGCCAUCUCCAAAAUAGUGACAAAAACCUCCCAGGGGCCACGCGCUGCCUCCACGUAUUGGAAGUGGCCUAAAGCUGGCUAGCAGGCAUUUCUGAUUCACAGACCACACAGGACAUAUUCUCCAUCUGAAUUUAGCAAGCAGACUCACCUCUUGCACCCUCUGCAAAGCUUUCACAGACACAAGGAUAGUAUGUUGAAAGGUGGUUGUCAUUCUUUUUUUCCCCACCACUCCCUCCAAGGGACAGAUUAUGCAGAAUAUAUAUACACACACAUAUAUAUACAUACACUUAAGCACAGAACAUAGUUCAGAGCUUAACAAAGUUCCCUGAGCGUGUGUGUGUGGGGGGCAUACUGACAAGGCAAAACCCUUUAAUGACUUCAAACAGUCUAAAAUAAGGAGGAAAGGAGGAAGAAAAAAAAAAAAAAACCCACCCUCCUGAAUAAUUAGCUUCAUUAUUCCAGAAUUUGAUAAGGUAUCAAGAACAUUCCUGUGUGUAUGUAUGUGCAUGUCUGUGUUCAAAUGUGAACAGAGGGUUGGUGGAGAAAGGUUGAUGCGAUUGAUCCUGAAGAGAGAUCCAGGGACUUGAGAGGACCUCGGCCACUUCUCAUCCUCCUCCAGUUUCCCUUUGUUCAGAUGUCUGUGGCAUAGUUCUUCAAGUACCUUCACAUCUCCUGAACCACCCCUCUGUAUCUAAUGCUGAGAGUUUACAAGAGAGAUGGAUGAAGCUGUGGGAGUCUGUGUGUUUCUAUAGUCCAUGUUUACUUAUUGUAAAUACCAUUUUUAUACUUAACAUCUAUUAUGUAUGUGAUUUGUAUAAUGUACUUUAUUUCUGCUACAAUUAAUUUCAUGAAGUUUAAACUUAACCUAAUUUUGAACAAAAAAGAAAAUGACCAACAAAUGCAAAAUGGGAAGGAAAAAAAAAAAAGGGGGGAUUUUGGAAAUGCUAGGUCACGCUCGUUUAAAACAAGCAUUUACAAUUUCUUCCAUCACAGUUACUGAUGUGACUGUACACUGUUACAGGUGUGAUACAAGCUUCAUCAAUGUCAAAUUCCUUGCUCUGGUCUAAAAAAAUCUUAAAUUUAUUUAAUAAAAGUUUUACUUCCUAAG